rnacentral:tRNA from 1 species
GGUAAAAUGGCUGAGAAUAGGCAAUAAAUUGUAAAUUUAUUUAGGAAUUGUUUCUUUUACCA